GUCCUGCCAAGGGCAUGGCUGGGUAGCUAUGUACGGAAUGGAUAAGCGCUGAAAGCAUCUAAGCGCGAAGCCAACUUCAAGAUAAGAUUUCCCACCGCAAGGGUAAGACCCCAGAAAGACUAUCUGGUUGAUAGGUCGAAGGUGUAAGUGCAGCAAUGUAUUUAGCUUAUCGAUACUAAUAGGUCGAGGACUUGACCAAU
rnacentral:rRNA from 1 species